UACGUAGGGUGCAAGCGUUGUCCGGAAUUCUUGGGCGUAAAGAGCUCGUAGGCGGUUCGGUCAGUCGGGUGUGAAGCCUCCAGGCUCAACCUGGAGAGGCCACCUGAUACUGCUGUGACUCGAGUCCGGUAGGGGAGCGUGGAAUUCCUGGUGUAGCGGUGAAAUGCGCAGAUAUCAGGAGGAACACCGAUGGCGAAGGCAGCUCACUGGGACGGUACUGACGCUGAGACGCGAAAGCGUGGGGAGCAAACAGG
rnacentral:rRNA from 1 species